rnacentral:rRNA from 1 species
GUGGGUAACCUGCCCAGAAGCAGGGGAUAACACCUGGAAACAGAUGCUAAUACCGUAUAACAGAGAAAACCGCCUGGUUUUCUUUUAAAAGAUGGCUCUGCUAUCACUUCUGGAUGGACCCGCGGCGCAUUAGCUAGUUGGUGAGGUAACGGCUCACCAAGGCGAUGAUGCGUAGCCGACCUGAGAGGGUAAUCGGCCACAUUGGGACUGAGACACGGCCCAGACUCCUACGGGAGGCAGCAGUAGGGAAUCUUCCACAAUGGACGCAAGUCUGAUGGAGCAACGCCGCGUGAGUGAAGAAGGGUUUCGGCUCGUAAAGCUCUGUUGUUAAAGAAGAACGUGGGUGAGAGUAACUGUUCACCCAGUGACGGUAUUUAACCAGAAAGCCACGGCUAACUACGUGCCAGCAGCCGCGGUAAUACGUAGGUGGCAAGCGUUAUCCGGAUUUAUUGGGCGUAAAGCGAGCGCAGGCGGUCUUUUAAGUCUAAUGUGAAAGCCUUCGGCUCAACCGAAGAAGUGCAUUGGAAACUGGGAGACUUGAGUGCAGAAGAGGACAGUGGAACUCCAUGUGUAGCGGUGAAAUGCGUAGAUAUAUGGAAGAACACCAGUGGCGAAGGCGGCUGUCUGGUCUGUAACUGACGCUGAGGCUCGAAAGCAUGGGUAGCGAACAGGAUUAGAUACCCUGGUAGUCCAUGCCGUAAACGAUGAUUACUAAGUGUUGGAGGGUUUCCGCCCUUCAGUGCUGCAGCUAACGCAUUAAGUAAUCCGCCUGGGGAGUACGACCGCAAGGUUGAAACUCAAAAGAAUUGACGGGGGCCCGCACAAGCGGUGGAGCAUGUGGUUUAAUUCGAAGCUACGCGAAGAACCUUACCAGGUCUUGACAUCUUCUGCCAACCUAAGAGAUUAGGCGUUCCCUUCGGGGACAGAAUGACAGGUGGUGCAUGGUUGUCGUCAGCUCGUGUCGUGAGAUGUUGGGUUAAGUCCCGCAACGAGCGCAACCCUUAUUACUAGUUGCCAGCAUUCAGUUGGGCACUCUAGUGAGACUGCCGGUGACAAACCGGAGGAAGGUGGGGACGACGUCAAAUCAUCAUGCCCCUUAUGACCUGGGCUACACACGUGCUACAAUGGAUGGUACAACGAGUCGCGAAACCGCGAGGUUUAGCUAAUCUCUUAAAACCAUUCUCAGUUCGGACUGUAGGCUGCAACUCGCCUACACGAAGUCGGAAUCGCUAGUAAUCGCGGAUCAGCAUGCCGCGGUGAAUACGUUCCCGGGCCUUGUACACACCGCCCGUCACAC